UUUUUUUUUGAAGAGAGAUAGGUAGCACGCUAUCCGUUUCGUUUAUUUCAAUUAGAAAUAAAUUUAUCUAGAAAUAUGAAUCAACUAGGAUUUGAACUUGGGAUCUCGAGUACCGACCACCAAAUCCUUUGCCACUUGCUCUACGGAUGAUUGGUGAAGUUCAUCAAUGUUGUUAGGGCAAAGUUGCUUUUAAUCCAAAGUUGCUUUUAAGUGUUAUAUGAGUGUGUUAUGAGCUGAACUCCUAAACCGUUGACUCGGUAAAAUGUCCUUUUUCAAAAAGUGCAUAAAGAAGUGGAGUAGCUUUUGAUAGUGAUCCUCGAAGUUUGCGCCCACAACUGAAUCAAGCGAUUCGGCUGAUGAGGGAUCUGAUCAGCCAAGUUCAAAUAUUACACUAUAUAUUCGGUUCGGCUGAAAUGAGUCGAAUAAUGCGAAGAGAUUACAGCUCCUAGAAAAGCAGAAAAAUGUGCGAAAAUAAAUUGGUCUUCUUGUUCUUAGGGAAAAAAGACUAUUUGUUAGGCAUCUUCUGGCUAUUUAUAGUCUUGUCUGUUAUUUAUUUAGUUACUCCUCAUUAUCAGCUCUGUCCCUGCUUCUGCUGGUCACUCUUGGCCGAUCCUAACUGCAUCAACUCUAACCAAUUUUCAAUUUUCUGGAUACAUUCUUUUCAAAUCCUGGUGUACCACAUGUCACUUUAUAUUUGGCUUCGGGAGCUAUUUCUGUAGUGUGUUCCGACUCAGCACGUGGCGCAAUUUUUAUGGCGCUAACAUGGUGCAAAUAAUAAUAAGUAGAUCUUAUUAUGUUUUUUUUUUUAAAAAAAAAAUAAAGAGAGAAAUGUAGUAUACUAUCUAUUUCAUUUAUUUUGUUAAAAAAUAAAAUAAACUUAGUUAGAAAUGUAAGAUAAUCAAUCUAAUUAUGUCUCUGAUAUCAAUGUAGAACGCAGCGAAAGUAUUUAUUCCUAUGUUUUGCGGAAGUGACUUGUACUAGAAUGUGGUAAGUUCCGGAUCGUAGAGAUUGAUUUGCGUGUCAUUGGAUUGUCCACGAAGGUCGUGUAACACUUCAAACCCGUGGUAAAUCAAGUUAUCAACGAGCUAGAUCUAUAAUUCAUCGUUCAAAACCCUUUAGAAGUAAUAGGUUAAUAAAGGAUGUAGUUUUUCUCUCUUACAAAAUAGCUUACAAAUCUAGUCCAAUUAGGCAACAUAAUAAUCGUCGGAUCGAGUCCGAUCAUGAGCGGAGCAGAUUCGAUUUGACCGAAUGCCAACAGCUAAAAAUAUAAAAUAAUUAAAUUUUUAAUUUAAAAUUUUAAAUAUCAAUCAUUAAAUAUUUUGUCAUUUAUUUUAAGGACAGUAAAUAGGUGAUAUAAUGUUGGAUUGUUAUCUUUUG
rnacentral:lncRNA from 1 species